UACGUAGGGGGCGAGCGUUGUCCGGAGUUACUGGGCGUAAAGCGCACGCAGGCGGUCCGUUAAGUUUGGAGUGACAGUUGGUGGCUCAACCACCAAAGUGCUUUGAAAACUGGCAGACUUGAGGGCUUCAGAGGGACACGGAAUUCCGGGUGGAGUGGUGAAAUGCGUAGAGAUCCGGAGGAACACCGAAGGCGAAGGCAGUGUCCUGGGGAGUACCAGACGCUCAGGUGCGAAAGCCAGGGGAGCGAACGGG
rnacentral:rRNA from 1 species